CUGGCAGGGACCCCUGACAAGGACCAGUGAGCCACCAGCUGAGGAUGGUCACUGGGCCAGGCUUGUUGCUGCCUGGGGAUGUUUAAUCUCCCAAAGAUGUCAGUACUGGACAUGGUGCCACCCAGAGUCUGUAUCAGCCAGACCCCAUGGCCAGAACUGCUCUCCUGCACCAAGCCCAGCUUCUGCUAAGAAGCUGGUAGCAGUUGCUAUAGAGGGCUGAGGCCUGGAGUCAGAUCUGGCCAUGGCCUUUAGAUACACCUGCUCAGCCCACACUUGCUCUCAGGCCUCACGGCCAGUUGUCCAUGCGGUGAGCAUUCUCUUGAGCCACAAGAAGGCAAGGUGGAGAGAAGUGAUAAUGGGCUUGUGGCUACAAGUAGGAAACAAACAUUUUAAAGUGGCCUGGACCAGCUGUGCCUUACAAGGGCCACCUUGCAGAUAAGUACAAAAUUUACCAGCCCAGCAAGUGUCUGCCAGUCUACUUUCUCUAUGUAAAGGGGCCCAGGGCACUUGACUGCAAAACUUGGUUAAUUCUCUGUGGCUCUGCUGGAUUUAGUGAAUAAAUUCCUUCCUACCUAGGGGCUCUGAUCACUGAAGACUUGGCUCUGGCUUCCACCAUGUUGGGUACCAGCAGGUCCACGCACAGCUGGGACAAAAUCACAGCUACUUCUCG
rnacentral:lncRNA from 1 species